rnacentral:rRNA from 1 species
ACGGGAGGCAGCAGUGGGGGAUAUUGCACAAUGGGGGAAACCCUGAUGCAGCGACGCCGCGUGAGUGAUGAAGCAUUUCGGUAUGUAAAGCUCUAUCAGCAGGGAAGAAAAUGACGGUACCUGACUAAGAAGCACCGGCUAAAUACGUGCCAGCAGCCGCGGUAAUACGUAUGGGGCAAGCGUUAUCCGGAUUUACUGGGUGUAAAGGGAGUGUAGGUGGUCUGGCAAGUCAGAUGUGAAAGCCCGCGGCUCAACCGCGGGACUGCAUUUGAAACUGUCAGACUGGAGUGCAGGAGAGGAAAGUGGAAUUCCUAGUGUAGCGGUGAAAUGCGUAGAUAUUAGGAAGAACACCAGUGGCGAAGGCGGCUUUCUGGACUGUAACUGACGCUGAGGCUCGAAAGCGUGGGGAGCAAACAGGAUUAGAUACCCUGGUA